GAUAAAUUUGAUGAUUUUUAAUGAGAUAUUUUGGAAUUGUUUUGCCUAAUCAAAUAUUCGAUACCUUGAUAUUUUUCUCGUUUGUUUAUAAUCCAUUAGACUUAAUUGUUUGAUUUGGCAUCAUAAUCUAAACUGAUAUAAAAUAAAUUAUAUUAAAGUUAUAAUGUAAAUGAACCAAUAUUUCUAUUUUAAUAUAAGCAUAUACUAAUCAUAAAUAUACGGAUGUUUAAUGAGAUAUUUUGGAAUAGUGGUGGCAGUUUAACUGGACGUGGAUGAUGCUAGGACGGCUUGUUCUUUUUUUGAAUAGAGCAUGUCUAAUUUGUAUAAUGGCUCUCAUUGCUAGUCAUAAUCCAAAUGAUAUCUAGUCUGAGGAUUAUAGUUACCUAAUUCAUAUUUAGCGUUUGAAUUGGAAGGUAAUUUAUUAGAAUACGGAGANGACGGCUUGUUCUUUUGUUCUUUUUUUGAAUAGAGCAUGUCUGAUUUGUAUAAUGGCUCUCAUUGCUAGUCAUAAUCCAAAUGAUAUCUAGUCUGAGGAUUAUAGUUACCUAAUUCAUAUUUAGCGUUUGAAUUGGAAGGUAAUUUAUUAGAAUACGGAGAAUAAUAUUGUUUUUUUAUUUACUCUUUUAUUCUUAUCAAUGGUGAUUUAUAAUUCUCGUUUUCAAGGUCCCAGAGCUUUCCAAAUUUUGCUAGGAUCUGGACACAAUUAAGAAAGCCGAAAGGUUUCCAGGAAUUACAGUCACCGUCUUAUCCUUUCUACUUAAUUAAAUAUUCGAUACCUUGAUAUUUUUCUCGUUUGUUUAUAAUCCAUUAGACUUAAUUGUUUGAUUUGGCAUCAUAAUCUAAACUGAUAUAAAAUAAAUUAUAUUAAAGUUAUAAUGUAAAUGAACCAAUAUUUCUAUUUUAAUAUAAGCAUAUACUAAUCAUAAAUAUACGGAU